rnacentral:misc_RNA from 1 species
CAGGACUCGCAAGACUCCUACAACCCUGUGAACUCACUAUAACCACGUUGCUUCGGCGGGUGUCGCGGCGGGGGUCCCCCCACCGCGGCGCGCAGCCCGCCGGCAGCCUACCAUACUCUGUCUCUUUGCGUUGGCAUCUCGAGGAAAAGCAAACAAGUUA